UGCUACUACUUUAAUCAUAUGUAUGAUGAUGAUCGUAAAAUCUAAACCAUACAUAUAUGAACCAUCCAUAUCAAGUAGAUCUUACAAAAGUACAAAUAUAAUUACUUAAGAAUUUUAAGAAUGAGUAUAUAUAUAAUUUUGAAUGGUUCAUAUAUACAUGGUUUAAAUUUUGUGAUCACCACCGUACAGACGAUUAAAGUA
rnacentral:lncRNA from 1 species